GAUGAACGCUGGCGGCGUGCCUAAUACAUGCAAGUCGAGCGAACGGACGAGAAGCUUGCAUCUCUGAUGUUAGCGGCGGACGGGUGAGUAACACGUGGAUAACCUACCUAUAAGACUGGGAUAACUUCGGGAAACCUGAGCUAAUACCGGAUAAUAUUUUGAACCGCAUGGUUCAAAAGUGAAAGACGGUCUUGCUAUCACUUAUAGAUGUAGCUGCGCUGCAUUAGCUAGUUGGUAAGGUAACGGCGUACCAAUGCAACGAUGCAUAGCCGACCUGAGAGGGGACUCUGCAACACUGGACCUGAAACACGGUCCGGCCUACUAGAGGAGGCACCCGUAGCGAACCUUCCCGGAUGGGAGAAGGGCUGACGGGGCAACGCCGCGCGAAAGAUUGAGGGCUUCGGGUCGUGUGACUCAGUUAUUAGGGCAGGACAUAUAUGUCAGUAACUGUGCACAUCUUGACGGUAAAUAAUCAGAAAGCCACGGCUAACUACGUG
rnacentral:rRNA from 1 species